UCGCCUCUGCGUGUAGACUCGCCUCAAAACAAUUGGCAGCCGGCGUAUUGAUUUCGGAGCGCAGAACAUCUCGCGCUUUGCACUCAUAACGACGACGUCCAAAAGUACAUUUUUACACUCUUGACCUCGGAUCAGGUAGGGAUACCCGCUGAACUUAAGCAUAUCAAUAAGCGGAGGAAAAGAAACCAACAGGGAUUGCCCUAGUAACGGCGAGUGAAGCGGCAACAGCUCAAAUUUGAAAUCUGGCGUCUUCGGCGUCCGAGUUGUAAUUUGCAGAGGGCGCUUUGGCAUUGGCAGCGGUCCAAGUUCCUUGGAACAGGACGUCACAGAGGGUGAGAAUCCCGUACGUGGUCGCUAGCCUUUACCGUGUAAAGCCCCUUCGACGAGUCGAGUUGUUUGGGAAUGCAGCUCUAAAUGGGAGGUAAAUUUCUUCUAAAGCUAAAUACUGGCCAGAGACCGAUAGCGCACAAGUAGAGUGAUCGAAAGAUGAAAAGCACUUUGGAAAGAGAGUUAAAAAGCACGUGAAAUUGUUGAAAGGGAAGCGCUUGCAGCCAGACUUGCCUGUAGUUGCUCAUCCGGGUUUUUACCCGGUGCACUCUUCUAUAGGCAGGCCAGCAUCAGUUUGGGCGGUUGGAUAAAGGUCUCUGUCAUGUACCUCUCUUCGGGGAGAACUUAUAGGGGAGACGACAUGCAACCAGCCUGGACUGAGGUCCGCGCAUCUGCUAGGAUGCUGGCGUAAUGGCUGUAAGCGGCCCGUCUUGAAACACGGACCAAGGAGUCUAACAUCUAUGCGAGUGUUUGGGUGUCAAGCCCGAGCGCGUAAUGAAAGUGAACGGAGGUGGGAACCUUUCGGGGUGCACCAUCGACCGAUCCUGAUGUCUUCGGAUGGAUUUGA
rnacentral:rRNA from 1 species